rnacentral:piRNA from 1 species
UGCAAAAACUCGGUAAGGUCUGCAGGUC